UGGAGGAAUCACCUAAAGAAACACCAUGAAGAAUUCGUUCUGGCCUCAAAUAGUUACAUGGAUGUUUGUUGCAGGAAGAUACAUUUAACCAUUGAAGUUCCUACUCAUUGAGUGAACCCUGUCUCCCUCCUCUCUGGUUUCCAGAAACAAGGAUUCUUUCUAAACUCCACUUACUUCUUGCCUCAUGGCUAAUGCCCAUGGAGGUGGGGUGAGUGACCUGCUGGUGACCAAGGGAAAUGAAUCUGCACAGGAAGCCCAGGCCCUCCCUCCCUCCCUUUUCAUUAGAAGCCAGCUUCCCCUGGAAAACAGCCACAUUCUGCUCUACUUUGUCAUGUCUAUGGGCCCCUCCCUCAGUGGGAAGGCUUAAGUUUUGUAAGAUUGACCAUAAGUGUGGUGAUAUUUCCUAAUUCCAGGGAAUGGAGCUAGUCAUGCCACACAUCUUUGCUGUUCUCACGAACUGAGAGUCUUCUUAUGUUGCCAUUUUGAACUCUUGCACUCAAAUGAUCCUCCUGCCUUGGCCUUCCAAAGUGCUGGGAUUACAGGUGUGAGCCACUGUGCCCUGCCCAAGCACCUCUGCUCUGUGCCAUGCUCUUGACUAAUUGAAGUUGUGAAAGGCAUGAGGAUUCUGGUCAUGGACUCAGCUCUCCCACAGGGGUCUGACACCAAAGUAAUGGUCACAACAAUGAAAGGAAGAAUCCAUCUGGCCAGGCUCAGGUGGUUCAAGGCCUUCAGAAUCUGCCUUGAGACUCUCCAGUGACAGUCUUUAGACUGAAAACCAUCUUGGCCCCAUCCAUCCCUGUAAGCAAUUUAACAACAGCUUGCAAAGCACCGAGCUUUAACAGAAAGAAGAGAUGAGCAUGGCACAAGAACUUGGACUCCAGAAGAGCUGCCUAACAGAUUAUUUUUCUGUUGUAUUUCAUGAGAACAAACAAAGUAAGAAUUUUCCUUUUGUCCGUCUGGCCUUUGGCAUUGUUUACUUUCUUUUUAUUCUUCUGAACUGUACUUUGAGCCCUGGCAGCAUUUCUGUCCUAAAAUCUUAUUGUCAGAGGUUUUUCAGCUGUUUCAAAUCAUACCUGAUAGAGUGAGUGUGCUGCCUGGACUCAUCACUUUACUUCAGAAGAAAUACAGCUCACCCUUUAAAUGACAAUGGUGAUUGUCCACAGCUUUAUGUUUUCUACACGGAAGUGGCAGGCUUCAUUUAAAAAUAGUGUUUUCCCUCAUCAAAAAAGAACUAGGGUAGAACCCUCAACUCUGCUGAUAUCCAGGUAGUGACCUAACACCCAUGUUUUGGACAAUCACUGCCUUAAAUCAGGUUUUCAUUGCAUGUAGGAUAAUUCUUUGUCAAUGGUGGUUUUGUCAACUGUGAUGUGAGGUAAUGAGGUUUUCUACUUUUGCUUGAAAUUUUGAAAAUAUGCAAGCUUUUAACAUUUGCAAAGUUGGAUUCUGUUUUCUUUACAAACCAACCUGAUUUGCCGAUGUUCUCUCCAUCUGUCAGGGUAUGCGUGAUGUGGUGCAGACUUAAUGUGCUGCCCUUCUGGAACAUGGACAGAGUAGCAGCACAGAAAAAUGAGCAUUUCAGCUCUGUGAUGAUUUGUGAAAAAAUUUCAGAUCAUUGAGCAGGCAUUUUGCUGACACCUGUGAAAAGUAACCACAUCAGAGAGCGUGGCGUGAUGGUCGGAGGCCACAUGCUGGAGUUGGACUGCUUGAGUCAAAUCCCAGCUGCUCAGCUGUAGGGAACUGAAUGGUGAUCCCCAAAAGAUAUGUGUAUCUCCUAAUCCCUGGUACCUGUGAAUGUGACCAAAGACCCUUAAAGGGUCUUGGCAGAUGUAAUUACAUUGAGGCUCUCAGAGAUGAGAACAUCCUGGAUUAUCAGGGUGGGUCCUAUAUCCAAUGACAAGUGUCUCCUUAUAGGAGACAGAAGAAGAUGCAGACCCAGAAGAGACUAAGUAAAGAUGGAAGCAGAGACUGGAGUGAGGCUGCCACAGGCCAAAGAAUACCUGGUGCCAGCAGAAUCUGGAAGAGGCAAGGAAGGACACUUCCCUGGGGCUUUCGGACGGAGCACAGCCCUGCUGAUGCCUUGGUGUUGGACAUCUGGGCUAUGGGACUAUGAGAACCUUCUGUUGUUUUAAGCCACCCAGUUUGUGGUACUCUGUUAUGGCUGCCACAGGAAACUAAUACACCCUUUACCACCUGAGUGACCUUUGCCAACUUACUUAACCUCCACAAAUCAGUCCCCUCAAAGGAACACCCUCCCCCCAGGCUCACUGUGAUGAUAAAAUGCUUUGGCAUAGGUGACUGGUUUAGACCAGGGCCUGCUACCUAGCACGUGCUAUGCCAGUGUUUCUAUCAUGGCAAGAGCAGAUGCAGCGGAGCUUAGAUUUCAACUGUAUCCAUGCUGGUUAGAAAAGUCACAGUCUGGGACACAGGACACUUCAGGAAGAAUCUCCCUCACUGGAUCCCAGUGUUCCAGCAAUGUUUUCCAAGCAGCUGAAGAACAGGAAGCAGGAACAGGGUUCCCUACAAGAGCCAUUACUCAGAUGCCUCUACAUCUGACUGGUGUUGGAGAAGUAUGACUUCUGGAGGUUUAUGUGCUGGGACUUUAACAGCAUACAUACUAAAAACAACAUUUAUUUUCCUCAGAUGCUGGGCUCUCUAUGAGCCUUGACCUCCCUGAGAAGAUUAGAGGCAGGUGCCUAAUCUGAUCGGUCAACUCAGUGAAACAACUGCAUUGAUUAAAGCCAUAAGAUGUUAGGAUUCUCUGCUCUUGGUGGCCUAAAAGGUCCCAUUCCUUUCCCAAAGUGCUUAGCUUGAUCCCAUCCCAGGGAACAAUUUUGGGUGGACGAGAACCUGGCCACAGAGCAUGAGAUCAUGUAUGACUAAGUCCACUUGCCUUCAUGGAAAGAUACAUGGAGUUUUGGGCAAUUUCUUUGAACCCCUCUAGAGGCUUCUAAAGAUUGUUUAGCACCAUCUGGUUUUUAAUCCUGGAUGCCAAACUUGUUGAUUUUUGCCCUGGACCAUCUGUUUUUCAACUUCCCAUGGAACCUUUCUUUGGGCCAAGUAGGGAAAGAAAUAACUAUAUUUUUAAUUAUUUUUGUUUUGCCUUCUCAUCCCAGUCACAGCAUUAGAAAGGGAAAAUCAACUGUCUGACUAAGCUCUGAAAGAUUGGACAUGAAGUGCUGGCCUUGCUAUCUGCAGGGCAUCUCCCUAUAUAGAUUGGAUACCUUUUCCUUCACUCCCUGAUAAAAAGUGAGACAGACUGAGCAUAGUCUUGUGACCAUUUAAUGCCUGUGCCCAGAAUACGGGUCUGUACCACUUACAGCAGUCACAGUGGGGAGGAGCAGGGACCCUGGGGUCUGCCUGCCUGUGUCUGAAUUCCAGCUGAGCCCAUUCCUGGACCAGUGCCUGGGAAAGCUAUCUGACCUCUGAGAUCCAGUCUACUAGCCUCACAAGUGAGAUUGUGACAACACUUAACUCAGUGAGGCAUUGGACAUCAUCUCAUUUAAUCCUCAACAUGCCUCAGUGUCUAGCAUUUAACAAGCUCCCAUAAACAUUAGUUAUUAUUAUUCCUUAAUAUGAAUAGCAUUUAAAAUAAUGAAGUGGGAGAGAGCAAUGCUGCAUGCCCUACCACUGGCCAGAGAGCUUGCAGCAGGAAGAAUGCUUAGGUGGAACACACAGGCCUUUUCUGUAUUCAUCCCAUUCCAAAGGAUUUGGUGUUGCCAUAUAUGGAACAUUAAGAUUAGAAAUGGCCAUUUCCAAACUGGUGAAUCCCUUGGUGCCUUUUUCUCCACUGUGAUUCAUCUGGGGUACCCUCAGUUUUCAGUGGUCAUGGUCAUUCCAAACCAACCAUGAGCUGGGGGAACAUUGUACUAUGGUAAACCCAGGGUCACCUGACCAGAGCUCCAAUUUUAUAAACCCAAGUUGUAGGUGGGAUGAUGGAUGCGGGCUUCUCUGGCAAAUGCUUCCUGAGCAUUGUGGACACUAUCACUUCUAGGGGGCUGCAGUUGCCUCAUUGUAUAAUUCUGGUCAUCAGAAAGGAGGCAGUCAUAGAUGAGCUGCCCUUCUGGACAAAAUGACAUCUCUCUUAUUGAAAAAGGUUAAGAGGCUACUUUCUUUCCCCCCUGCCCCACAACCACUAUUUAUUGCAUAAGAUUUCAGAAUGAUGAUGAUAAAAAAGCAAGUUUAUAGACACAUCAUGAGGUUGUAUGAAUAAAAUAAAGUAAUAUCUGGGACAGAUAUAUCAAAGAAAAUUGAACCCAAAAUGUCUAACUUUGCAGUCCAUACUCAGCCAGAACUCCCAAUGAAUUAAAACACAGACUGCGUAAUUAUGUACACAAAAUGCCUUUAAAGUUGCUCCAUAAAUUUGAAGAAAAAAGGAUAGUCUGUUUAAAGCUACUAGGGCAAAAUUCCUUACUGUGGGUUUAUAGGCACUAGUACAAGUGGUUCCCAAAUCCCCCUUUUUAUUUUUUAAUUAUAAAUAAGAAAGAACAGAGUCUCCCCUUGCAACUUCCACUUCAUCGCAGCCUCCAGGCACAGAGGACAGAGUUCCUGGAAAAAAGGAAGGCUUAAUUCCAGGUCUCUAAUAGCAAAUUAUAGUCAGACUGAACAUUGAUUAUAUUUAAAUCUACCAUAUUUUUCUUUUGAGAACCAUAUAUUAUUUAACAUCUUGAAUGUUUUACAUUGAAUUUGUUGAAAAAUUCUCCCUGUGUUUUCAGGCCUUUAUCAUAAUUUUGUUUUUAUUUCUUAAUUUUUCUUUUCAAAUAAGUGAGAGAAUUAAGUUAAAUGAGCAAUAAUAUAUAAGUCAUUCAGUUAAUAUAGAAAUUUUGGGCCAGCCAUGGAGGCUUAUGGCUAUAAUCUCAGCAUUUUGGGAGGCCGAGGCAGACAGAUCACUUGAGCCCAGGAGUUCG